rnacentral:lncRNA from 13 species
GGGGAAAUCUGCAGGGGGACUUUUGAGAAAGGUUUUCUCACUCUAAUAAGUAGCCCAGGAAGAGAUGGUUUCUCUUCUUUGUCCAGCUGUGAUGCCUGGGAACUUCUGUGGCCACCUUGCUUCCAGCCAAUACACAGAGUAGGGCAACUCUCAGAAAACCCCCAAGAAGAGAAUUGGAGUGUGAAAUACACUGCCUGGAAUCCUGUCUUCCCAACUUUGGGCUUCCGGAUCUAUCAGGAUGUGAGAAGGAAGCAGUCUAUAACCUGGAAGAGGAGGACCCUCACCAGAACCUCACCAUGUCGCCACCCUGAUCUCAGGUUUCCAGCCUCCAGAAGCAUGAGAAGAACACGACUGUAAAGCCAAUGAGUGCAACAGCUUCUCCUGCAACUAUGUGGAUGCAAGAAGGAUAAAUGAUCAGUGAUAAAGGACUCAAUGCAAAGGAGAAUGAGUGGAAAUAAGGGCGUGGCUUUAAGGCCGCUGUGUAUCACCACGUGGGUUGUGUGUUGCACAAUUCUAGGAGGCCCAUCAUCAUAGACCGUGACAUGGUUAAGCUGUGGCCCUGGUCCCGCCUCUGGUCUGGUCUCUGAAAGGAAGAAAGUGAAGGGAAUGGCAGAAAGCUCUGAAUUCUGUGAAUUGUGAAUUCUCCCAAAUCUCUCUAGAAACCAAAUUGUUUCCAUAAUUCUUUAUGAGGAGGCUUUUGAAACUCAAAGGCUGAGAAUUGAUUUUAUCUUCUGUGUCAACCUUUCUCUAAGGCAACGAGUGAUGACUCACCUGGUUUGGACCAGGAGAGAAAUCCAGGCUGGAGGAAAGUAUGGGGAGAGGAGUAGAAAUCAUUGGUUAAUAUUUCAAAAUCUUAGCCUGCAACAAAUGUACCCAGAAAGUCCAUGCCAAGCAAUAUAAAUACUCUUAAAAGCAAAGCAAUAAUUCUGCUUAAAUUGGAGUAGGAAAUGAGGAAAAGCUGGAGAAAGCUCCCCAAGGAGGGUG